rnacentral:misc_RNA from 1 species
UCAAACUUGGUCAUUUAGAGGAAGUAAAAGUCGUAACAAGGUCUCCGUUGGUGAACCAGCGGAGGGAUCAUUAACGAGUUAUAAUAAACUCCUUAAAACCCACUGUGAACAUACCAUUCUGUUGCCUCGGCAGGCUGUGCUCCUACCCUGUAGCUGUUACCCUGUAGGGCUUACCCUGUACCUACCCUGUAACGGUUACCCGGUAAGCACAGUAAACGGCCUGCCGGCGGUCUUAUAAACGCUUGUUGGUCAUCGUGGAAUUCUGACUUGACGUGAUAAUAAGUUAAAACUUUCAACAACGGAUCUCUUGGUUCUGGCAUCGAUGAAGAACGCAGC